CUCACCGUAUAUAAGUGCCUUUGUUCAAUCGUACAUAGACCCACCUAUUUCUUUGAAUUGGAAAAAUCCGGGAAUAGUCGCGGUGUGAUCUUUGCAGAUCUGGUGGUUCUUUAUAAAUUCUUUUGGUAAUUUUUUUAUCUGCUGAGUUCUAAAUAAUUCUUGACGACUUCGGCUUGUAUUGGUACAUUCUUUUGAAUCUAUGUUUUUCUUCUUGGUGGAUAUUGUUUAAAUGUGAACACGGUUGAUUUCAGGGUCUUAUUUACUUGAGUCACCUUUCAUUUUUUGGGUUAAUAUCUCAUUCUCCUCCCUACUUUCGUAAUUGACACACGUUUGACGUUUUGUUUGAGUUAUCUUUUGAUUUCCAAUUCAUCAUUAAUGAAGUUGAUUGAUUUUAGGUUUUGCUUUCUCUAUCUCCUAUCAAUUUUUGUAGUUGAAGAAUACUUGCUGUAUGAAGUUAUAUUAUUAAGUUUUUUUAGUCAUUGAUUUUCCAAUUCAUUAUUAAUGAAGUCGAUUGACUUUAGGGUUUUGAUUUUCUGGAUUUUUGGUUUAAUAAUUUUGGUUAACAUUAAUCUUCCUUUUUACUAUUUUACAAUUGAAAGAUUUGUUAUGCUUCGUGAGUUUGUUAAUUUUAAAACUAAACCUUUUAUGCUUAUAUACUUAAAAUACCAUUUGUAAUGACCGGGAAGGUUCUGUAUGUGUAGAGAUAGAGAGUCCAGAAUUUUCAGUGUCAAUCCUUUUUUUGUUGUUAAAAGCUGGUAAAAAUGUAUUAUGUUUUUACGCGGAAUCUUGUUCAAAUGAAUUGGAAGAAAUUUAUGUUUAAAUAAGUUGGAAGUGAACUAUUUCAUUCAAGUAAGGCAAAAUGAUGGACAAUCUGAAACCACACUUACAGAUACUUUUUAGGGUUUUAUAUUGUGGACAUGUAGGGACAUAGAUGGACUCGUGCACAUUCUUCGGAGCAUUAUGUUUAAAAGGUUGAUCGGGUGUUCAGGCAUUCCCGUAAGCAAGGCAUAAGCUUCAAUGUAUACCAGAAAAAAAAAAGACAGAGUAAAGUAAUUAAAAUGCGAAAUAAUCUCAUAAUAAAUCAUAAAAUCUCUUCAAAAUUUAAAUAGAAUAAUUUAAAAUGUUCAAAAAAAUAAAAAAUAAAAAAUAAAAAAUAAAUCCAUGAAGUAACAAAAAGGAAACUAUUUCUUUAGUUGGUGGAGCAAUGGACUAUUCCCAAAGUGGACUAGUAUAAAGAUUUUUUUUAAGUUGUAGCUGGUUCCCAAGGUGGUUUAAUAGGGAGACAAUUUUUUAAUGCUUUAGCAAUAGCUAGUGAGGCAAUGGGCUAUUUACAAAGUUGGGUCCAGAGGAAUUUUUAAUAUUUUUUGCCCUGCGCCAUAAGCAAAGUAAAUAAGUCUAGAGAAUUAAAUAGUGAAUGCCUCACAAGCAUUGAAGCAUGUCUCCAGAAAUGCCACCCGAUCAGGGCCUUAAGGCGUUUUUUAUUUGCCAUGCUUUGAGAUGUUGAGAUUUUUUAAACAAUUGGAGCAUCUUCUAUGACAUGGGUCAGCAAUUGGAAAUGUCAAGAUCUGGUUUCAUUAAUGGGAAUUUCUGUUGAACAGAAUACUUAUAUUUAUGAUAUGUGGGCGGAAAAUGGGGGUUUUCUGAAUUCGGAUUAUUCAGACUAAGUCUCAUUAUUUCAGUUUUCAUUCACUCGCAUCAUUUUGCUAAUUAGUAUGCUUUAUUGCAGGCUAUUCCUGGUAGCUUAAAUACUUUUUAUUGCUUCUGAAGUUUCAUUGAUUGGAUUUGAUUUUUUCGACACUUGUUUGAUGGAUGAUGGCUAUUCCAAUGGAUGAUUACAAGGAAAAUUCAUCAAGGGAACGUGUUCAGCACCUCUUCAACAAGGUAUAUGUGUUCUUUAGUCCAAAAGAUUAUAUCUUUGUGGGUGGAAAUUGAGUUUGGCAUUCUUCAUGUGAAUGUUUGUGUCGUAUAAUGUGGCCUAGAUUACGUUUCUUUUUGUAGAACAUUGGCAAAGGGGUUACCUUCGAAAAAUCAUCCAAUUACCUCAUCGAGAUAAACGAGGCAUACAAAUGCAGAAUUAUCUUGUUUGGUUUAGUUGGCGUUUUUAAAAAGAUAUAAUUAUUAUGUUCUCUUUAAUCAAUUAUGUUUCUUUGACUGAUUUCUCAUUCCACUAUAGAAUGUUGAAUUGGAGGCCAAGCGUAGGAAAGCCGCCCAAGCCAGAAUCCCUUCUGAUCCAAAUGCAUGGCAAAAGAUGCGUGAAAACUAUGAGGCUAUUGUCCUUGAAGACCAUGCUUUUUCUGAACAAAACGACGUAGAGUAUGCUUUGUGGCAGUUGCAUUACAGGAGAAUUGAGGAAUUACGGGCACUCUUCAACGCCUCUCUAGCUUCAUCAGGACCAGCUGCACCCCCGAAUGGGGAAGUUCCUUCCCGAGCUGGACCUGAUCGACUGACCAAAAUCCGUUCCCAGCUCAAGGCGUUUCUUUCUGAGACCACUGGAUUUUAUCAUGAUUUGAUGUUGAAGAUAAGGGUAAAGUAUGGUCUACCACUGGAUAAUUUUUCCGAUGAUCCACACAAUCAAAUUUCCUCGUUAGAACAUGGAAAUAAAUUUUCUGAGAAGAAUAAGGGAUUGAUAUCCUGUCAUCGCUGUUUGAUUUAUCUGGGGGAUCUUGCACGAUACAAGGGCUUAUAUGGGGAAGGGGACUCUAAAGCUCGGGAAUUUGCAGCUGCGUCCAGUUAUUAUAUGCAAGCUUCUUCACUUUGGCCUUCUAGUGGUAAUCCACAUCACCAGGUAAACCCUUCUUGAACUUCAUAGUGGUUUUUAGUUGGCAACUUUUGUCAUUAAUUGCCUCUUCCUAUAUUUUGGAUAUGGUUGUCCUGCUUGGUUAUUAACUUGUAGUUCUCUUAAUUUUUCAGGUUGCUAUACUGGCAGGAUAUUCCAAUGAUGAACUGGGGUCUAUAUAUUGCUACUUCCGAAGCCUAGCUGUUGAGAACCCUUUCAUUACUGCAAGGGACAACUUGAUCAUCGCAUUCGAAAAGGUAACUAUUCAGUAUAUGAACAAGUACGAGGAUGUUAAGUUCAUUAAAAUUUUCACCUUUAACCUAGUAUAUAACUAUGUUCUUAUUUUUUCACUUGUUGUUAUUAUCUUUUUUACGAGUGUUAGGCUUAACUCCAUGUCUGUUCCUGAGAGUAGAGAAUAGCAUUCGUGAUUGAAAUUGGUGCUUUGUUACCUAAUAAGAACAAAACAUGAAGUAGAAAGUGCCAUUUGAUCAAGUAUUACUAUGUCACAAGGACCUCUUUUCUUGCUUCAAUUUUUCAAGAUUCUUGUUACCUUCCCAUCAACCAAUGGCACUUUUACACCAUUGUUCUCGUCAUUAAUUUUCUCUAUUUUGGCAGAAUCGUCAGAGUUAUACCCAACUUCUUGGUGAUGCUAAAGCUUUGGUGAAGGCAGCACCUUCGAGGAUGCCUGGGUACAGGAGAGGUAAAGGUGAAACUAGGACUUCUAUUAAAGAUAAUAAGGUGGAAGCAAGUUCAGCUAAGAAAAGAGCUUCUGGCGUUGCUGAUCUUUUGAAAGCCUUCAUCACACGAUUUGUUCGACUAAAUGGCAUUCUUUUCACGCGGACAAGGUCUGUUCUGAAUUUUUACACUGUUUAGUAUAUUGUGACAUUAAAAUUACAAACCAAUGAUGCUUAUACGUUUCUCAUGUUUAUCCAGCUUGGAAACUUUUGAGGAAGUCUUCUCAAUGGUUAGAAAUGAUUUGUUAGAACUUCUUUCUUCUGGGCCAGAUGAGGAGUUCAACUUUGGUUCUGAUGCUGCACUGUGUCAACUAGUAAUUGUCAGACUGAUCAUUAUUCUCAUAUUUAUUGUUCAUGAUGUGAGCAAGGAAAACAAAAACCAAUCAUAUGCUGAUAGCCUACAGCGUUCAGUCCUGCUUCAUAAUGCAUUUACUGCUACCUUCGAAUUUAUGGGUUAUGUACUUGAACGCUGCAACAAGUUGAAUGAUCCUUCAUCUAGCUUUUUAUUGCCUGGUAUCAUGGUUUUCGUAGAAUGGUUAGCCUGUAACCAUAAUGUUGCAGUAGACAGUGGUCUGGAGGAGAAGCAAGCGAAUGUUAGAUCCUUUUUUUGGAACAAUGUUAUCGCCUUCUUUAAUAAGCUCUUAUCAAGUGGAUAUGUAUAUAUUGGUGAAGAUGAAGACGAAACAUGUUUCUCCCAUGCGAGUGAGUACGAUGAAUUUGAGACUGCUAAUCGUCUUGCAUUGCCUGAAGACUUUGAAUUGAGAGGAUUCUUUCCUCUUCUUCCUGCUCAAGUUACCCUCGAUUUUUCAAGGAAGCAUAGUUUUGGAAGUGAUGGUGGCAAUAAGGAAAAGAAAGCCCGCAUUCAGAGGAUUAUUGCAGCUGGAAAGGCUCUCGCAAAUGUGGUCCAGAUUGGGAAGGAGGGAAUAUAUUUUGACACGAAGUUGAAGAAAUUCUUGAUCGGUGUUGAACCCCAAAUUUCUGUUGAUUAUCCACUCACCAGCCCUUUAGAAGAUCCCAAAAUAAAUGGUAAUUCGCUAGAAAAUUCUGUUGAGGGCCAAGUGGUUCUAGCUGCUAGGCCCAAGCUGGAGGUUGAUGCUGAAGGAGAGGAAGACGACGAGGUUAUUGUCUUCAGGCCAUCUAAGACUGAGAAGCAUGUGAGUGACUUCGCAUCAAAGUUAACUUCUUCAGAGGUUCUUGCUUCCACUGUUGGUGAUGGAAGGGUUCAUUGUGGGAAUCAGAAUGGGUCUGUUUCUGUUGGAGAUGAGAGUUUCCUCUUACAGGGUGCUCCAAGCACUGGACGAUCUAUAGCUGUUGCUAACUGCACUUCUCAGUAUAUGCUACCAGUCCAACCCAGCUUUUCAAAGUACUUGGUAGAACAAGCUCCAACCCUGAAUGGCUUGUCCCACUUGAGUUUGAUGGAAAAUGGAUCUUUUAUGAAACCUGCUCUGCAAGAUCAAUUGGGAGUGUCCCAGCCUGCUGCUUCUGCUGUUCCCUACCCUCGGUUUGUCAACACUGAUUCUGGACAUAAUUAUCCUGUUCAGAUUUCACAAACUGCUGUAACAUCUAAAUUUGAUUCCAUUAUGUACCCCAGAGCAGCUACUGAUGGCCCGUUUGUCAAACCAUCACCAGCCAUAUCAGCAGGCAUAAAAAAGAAUCCUGUGAAUCAACCUGUUCGGCAUUUUGGGCCCCCACCUGGCUUUGGUUCCACUCCUUCUAAAACUGUGGAUGAGUCAUUGAACAGCAUGACAUUGAAAAAUGAAAAUCAUUUAACCCCUCAAAUGGACGAACAUAGCUGGCUAGAUGGAUAUGAGUUAUCUUCAAAUCAAAGUGCUGGAUUUAACAAGUCCAUUAAUCAUGUGGGACCAAAAUUCCCUUCUGCGAGCAAGAACAGUGGUUCAAUGGGAAUGACAAGCUUCCCUUUCCCUGGGAAGCAAGUCUCUGUGAUGCAAGUCCAGAGUCAAAACCAGAAAAGCUGGCUCGACUAUCAGUUGCCAGAGCAUUUGAUGCAGUACCAGGAGCAGCAGCAACAAUUUCAUGGAGGAAAUCAACAUUAUGUCAGGUCAAAGAAGUAUCAAGGACAAUCUCCUUUGGAAAGUCACUUCUUUGUGUGAGAUGAUUAGGGGAGCAUAGAUGGUAAGGUGUAUUCUGCCUCUUUAGUUUUUAGUCUUCAAAUCAUUAUUUUCUUCCUUCCCUCUCUAUAGAUGGGGGGCAGUUUCCUACUAUCUUGAAAUUGACUUUAUGUUGAGAUGCUCCACUUGAAUUUCUACCACAUCAAAUUUUCUUAACGUAUUAAGGUUUGAACAGUUUGACGCGACAAAUAUCCAUGGCUGGGUUGCUAUCAUUUCCACCAUUGCUUUUGCUGAAUCUUCCGUGUUGAGUUUUUGUUGGAGCAUGGUAGUAGUUGGAGUGUUGAAGGCACCUGAUUUUGAACAGGUUUCUCUCUGUCAAUUGACUUUUUCUUUUAAGAUGUUAGUUUUUCCUUUCAAAUUACGUAAAAUAAUCAAAACGUCUGACACAGUAGCCUUUUAUUUUGAUUUUAUACUGACUGAAUGUGUUUGUUCUUCUGAGUGUUAGUUUCUUCCUUUUGGCAUAUUUCUCUUUUUCCUUUUCUCAACUGUGGUUUUCAGCUCGAGGAAAAUGGUUUUUUUCAUGUGAAAGUGAUUUUGCAAUCUUUGGCCUUGCUGUUUGAGCAUCGCUUGCAUUUAACUUUUUCCCCCCUUGGUUCUCUCUAUUUUUAGCUCCUAAUGAAUGCAUAUAUGACCAUUUAGGGUCCUUUUGAUUGAGAGUUCCAACAUCUUUUUCUCUUUUACUUUUGGUUCGAUUGAAGAGAGGACAAACUGGGUCUGCCUAACUGUACUUUGCCCCCAUUUUCUUUUUUCACUGGUCUAGACGAGUUGUUUGGUAGAAGGGGUGUUGCCUUUGGUUACCAAUUUAUUAGUACCUUCUCUAUCUCGUGUUUUAUUUUUGCGAUAAAAUCUUGCUCCGAGUACCUUAUGUGUGCUUGUGUAUGUUUCUUGCAAGAUGAAUGAUAACUACCUUCACCAUUAGCCUUACAAGAGAAAGUGCUCAUUUUAUCCCUUAAAUAGCAACUAUCUCUAUAUUUGUCUUACCUUCCCCAACAUCCUUCAAUCAGAUGAAGAACUUGACUUCCUACAAUGCGAUCUGUUUAAUGAUGUAGAUAUUGCCAAUCGGCUCCUUGAUAAUGCUGUCAUACUACUUCGCCACCAGAAUAUUCUCUCCUGGGCACUGAUGCAUUUGUUACUUGGUAAAUGUGUGUAGCUUGGCCUAUGGAGUUAUUUGACACUGCAAUGAUUUGAUUAGUUUACUAAAUGAAGUUUGUAGCAAAUUGCUAAAUGGAUUUUUGCCUUUUGUAACUAUUUUGGACAUUUCUAAACCUUAUUUAGAAAAACAAUAGUCAAAAGCUAUUGCCCCUUGAGGGAAAAAAUAAUGAAUGGAGAUUAGAGCAUGGAUUUAGCCUGGAGACCCAUAUUCUGAUAUUUCAAACCAUGGCAUGGCUGGAGUAUCGUCAUCCCACUAGCAGACUAGGUGCAGAAGGAUAUGCUUGUAUUUUAUUGAAUGAUUUAGGUUUGAGUCAAUUUAUUAGCACUCCAUAAUUUUGGUUUUAUAUUGAGAAUUCGACUUAGGUUGAUUAUUCACAAUGCGAAUUAAAAUGGUAGAAUUUGAUAGCUAAACCUCACCCCCAAAAAAGGGAUUCAUUUGGUCUUUUAUACCUCUUUGUUGUCAUUUUUAUGUGUCAUUGCCCUCUAGUUGGAGGCUCUCUGUAAUUAUAAUGCCUUGUAUCACACACUGGGUAAAUUGUAUUAAUAUCUUUUUAGUUUUAUAUGCAGCUUCGGCGAGCUUCCAGACCUAUUGUAUGGAGCUUAUGAUAUCAAUAGGUGAUGUAACUGGUAAUUUUACAUGCAGGAGUGCCUUGUCUGGUUGGUCAGUCAGCCCUCUUCAGGAAUAUUGGGUUAUUCCCUGCAGUUAUGGGCAUUUGGAUGGAAUCAAUAGAAGUAUUUGGUUAUUCUAUUUUGCUAGGUGAAAGUGCUCAACUGAAUUGUUAGUACUUGCCUGAAAUGCCGCACUAGGCAUUUCAACAGCUAAACUUUCAAGUUAUAUUCUUGGCAGUCUCUACACUAGAGCUUUGCCUUUGCCUGAAGUUCUGAAAUGAUAUAUUCUGUGUGAAACUCGUGGGGAAGUUUCUGCGUUAGUGGAGUAUGUUAAGGAUGUUAUUGGUAUAACUAUGAAAUUAGUAACAUACAAGGAAUGUGAACUUUCACAUUUGAUUUUUUUUAUUUGUAAUAAUGUCGUGUCGCGUAAAACUCGUGGUUGCUUAACCGUUUAUGAGAUACAUUGUGGUGUUACAUUGUCUUUGGGAUCAAUGGUGUUCUUGUGUUGCAACUAUCAUAAUGUUCGACCUUCUUUUCUUUAUUAUUGUU
rnacentral:lncRNA from 1 species